GCCUCGGUGGCCUAGUUGGCUAGGGCAUCGCCUUGGUAAGGCGGAGGUCGCGGGUUCGAAUCCCGCCCGAGGCUCCA
rnacentral:tRNA from 1 species